rnacentral:rRNA from 1 species
UACGUAGGUGGCAAGCGUUACUCGGAAUCACUAGGCGUAAAGCGCAGGUAGGAGGUUUGGUAAGUCUGUUGUGAAAGCUCCCGGCUUAACUGGGAGAGGUCAACGGAAACUGCCAGGCUGGAGUGCGGUAGAGGUAGCUGGAAUUCCUGGUGUAGCGGUGAAAUGCGUAGAUAUCAGGAGGAACACCGGUGGUGUAGACGGCUAUCUGGACCGUAACUGACGCUGAGGCACGAAAGCGUGGGUAGCAAACAGG